AAUUCUUUGUUCAAAAUGCCAAGAACCUGGACAACUCAUAGUCAAGACCCCCCGCUGGUAACACUAGGGCUUUUAAAAGUAUGUCUUAGCUCUUUUCACGAAAGGUCUAGGACUCCAAUUCUGUUCCCCGACCAUGGCAAAACUAUUAAAAAUUUUGCGGCAGCCAUGAGUAUGCUCAGGCUUCAGAAGAGGCUCGCCUCUAGUGUCCUCCGCUGUGGCAAGAAGAAGGUCUGGUUGGAUCCGAAUGAGACCAAUGAAAUCGCCAAUGCUAACUCGCGUCAGCAGAUCCGGAAGCUGAUCAAAGAUGGGCUGAUCAUCCGAAAGCCUGUGACGGUCCAUUCCCGGGCUCGCUGCCGGAAAAACACCUUGGCCCGCCGGAAGGGCAGGCACAUGGACAUAGGUAAGCGUAAGGGUACAGCCAAUGCCCGAAUGCCAGAGAAGGUCACGUGGAUGAGGAGAAUGAGAUUCUGCGCCGGCUGCUCAGAAGAUACCGGGAAUCUAAGAAAAUUGAUCGCCACAUGUAUCACAGCCUGUACCUGAAGGUGAAGGGGAAUGUGUUCAAAAACAAGCGGAUUCUCAUGGAACACAUCCACAAGCUGAAGGCAGACAAGGCCCGCAAGAAGCUCCUGGCUGACCAGGCUGAGGCCCGCAGGUCUAAGACCAAGGAAGCACGAAAGCGCCGUGAAGAGCGCCUCCAGGCCAAAAAGGAGGAGAUCAUCAAAACUUUGUCCAAGGAGGAAGAGACCAAGAAAUAAAAGCUCCCCCUUUGUCUGUACAUACUGGCCUCCGUGAUUACAUAGAUCAGCCAUUAAAAUAAAACGAGCCUU